CCUUGUGCCUGGAAUAAAGGUGCAUGCCUAGGCGCCAGGGUUGAAGCCUGGUGAGCAUUAAGCCUGAGGUGUGCCCUUUAAUAACUAUGCUUUCUGCAUUUGCAGCUAACGGAAUGGUGCCUUGCUGUCCACUAGCUGGAGAGGCUUCUAAAUCCUUCUUAGCUCUUUUAGAAUAUACCACCCAUUUAUCAAUUUGGUGCAAUUUAUCAGUUUUAUCAUUGGUUUAUCAACUUAUCUCAAUCAUAAUUGUUAGAUAUGUAUUAUAAUUUGUUGCAUUGUAUGAGUCAUUAUGUUGUGUGAUUGACUGAACAGUCCUAAACCUGUUAUAUCGUGCAUUUAUAUGCUGUUGACAUAGUUAUCUGCAUUUAUAGCGGAGAAUAUUUCACGGUGAGUUUCGCUUUUCCAUUACCCCGAGUCUAAAGAACUUGAGAAGCAAGAAGCUGAAAAGAAAUCAAAAUGGCUGCAUCAGAUGUCUGCUGGAUCUUCAUUGAUACUCUUCUUAUCAUUCGGGGACUCCUACUCAAAGUACCAAACUCAUAUUCAUUAAGGGGACAUGCAGUCUCAACACACAGUAGCAGACAUAAGAGUUCUUUGUCUGAGGUUGGGGAGCAAUCAAGUGCAAAAAAAAGGCAUAAGCAUGAAAGCAUUACAUUAACAAAUUGUUCUACUCUAGAUUCAGGGGCAGGAUCACAGUGGAAAUGCAAUUUCAGGGUCAUUGGAGCAUUCACACUAAAGGAGAAUGGAGGUAAUAAAAAAUGAGAGUAAUUCAUCACUUCUUGAUUUGGGUCAUCCUUGGAAUUCUAUUUUGUUGAUUUCCUUGUUAGAUAACAAUCAUUUAGUGGGGAAUUAGAGAUGAGAGAUUGUACGCUUGUCUUCCUUUUAUAUUCCUAAAAAUAGCGUGGAAAUUCAGAGUUAUCAAUUCUGAAAUUUUCAUUUCCCAAUUAGCCGAUGUAAGUUGCAGCACUGUGCCAAAGCCUGAUUGUUUUCUUUUUAUCCACUUCUCACACUGAAAAGACCAUUUCUUGUUAUGAACUUAUGGCUGUUGAAUUCCCUAUCAUAAGUUGUAUAAUUGUCCUAAUACUUGGAAGGUUACAAUGAACUAGUUAUUUUUGCGUGAAUGGUGUUUACCUAGUUGCGAUCAAUGCAUUGAAAUUCUGAACUCUCAAAAGCUCAAAAUCUCGUUCAAUAGGAUUUAGUUCAGAAGCUAUAAUGUUUUCUUUUUCUUACGAAUGUGAGACUGUUCUAGUAAGACAGAUGAUAUAAACUUGAGGUUUGAGAUUUCAUUGUGUAUUCCAGUUCCAUGUUUGUCUAUGAAUUA
rnacentral:misc_RNA from 1 species